rnacentral:rRNA from 1 species
GCGGCCUAUCAGCUUGUUGGUGAGGUAAUGGCUCACCAAGGCAACGACGGGUAGCCGGCCUGAGAGGGCGACCGGCCACACUGGGACUGAGACACGGCCCAGACUCCUACGGGAGGCAGCAGUGGGGAAUAUUGGGCAAUGGACGCAAGUCUGACCCAGCGACGCCGCGUGCGGGAUGAAGGCCUUCGGGUUGUAAACCGCUUUCAGCAGGGAAGAAGCGAAAGUGACGGUACCUGCAAAAGAAGCACCGGCUAACUAUGUGCCAGCAGCCGCGGUAAUACAUAGGGUGCAAGCGUUGUCCGGAAUUAUUGGGCGUAAAGGGUUCGUAGGUGGUUCGUUACGUCGGAUGUGAAAAUCUGGGGCUCAACCCCAGACCUGCAUUCGAUACGGGCGAGCUAGAGUUUGGUAGGGGAGACUGGAAUUCCU